UCACAAACAGACCCCGGUUGGCAAGUGUUACCAGACACGUGAGUGAACUGACCGGAGAGUGGAGCAGGACUCGAGGUCAGACUGGGGGAAGGAAAAAACAAAAAACCAGCCCCAAACUCCGCAAAACCCCGAAAGAUCCACCGGACCCGAGGAUCUGUCUGCGCCAAACGCCCCCGACGUCUCUGCGCUGCAGAGUCCCUUCUGAAGUGCCCAGAAGCUCAAGGCGAGCCGGGCGUGCGUAAUCCGAAGCCCCUUUUCGUUCUACCUCAGUGGAAAUCGUUAAUUAUUAGGUCUUCCCAAGGAAAGCUCAAAUCACACGGUCUGGGGAUUGAAAAUGCUACCCAAGUAUGCGAGCCGCAUUCUUUCGUUCCCUUGCCUGAACUUCGGGAGCGCCCUAGCGAGGGCUGGAGGCCGUGGGCGAGGUCAAGGACCAACUUCUUCCUCCUCUCUCAACCCCCCCCCGCGCACCCACCCCAUGCCUCUCCCCACACAUCCCCAAACCGGUGGCAGCGAGCACAUGAGCCGGUGUUUCCAUACAAGGCGCCUCGGUUGCCCAAGCGGGGAGAGAUCAGGGCUGCUCCAAGCCUCGCGUCUGCCUAGCCACGCCAAAGCCCAACUCUCUGCCCCGCGCCCUCUUUCUUCCUCCCACCUGUUGGCGCUGCGCUUUCUGUGCGCGCCCCGUCGAACCUGGCAGUUGGUCACGAGCCAGCGUGACCCCCUUUUAUGCCGCUUGUAAUUAACACUCCGCACAAGGCGGAGAGAGAUGGGAGGGGGGCGGAAAUAAGAGUUAAAAAAAAUAUAUAAAUAAAUCCUGGGCUUGGUAAUAGAAACGAGGAGGUCAGAGGGAGAGAAAGAACGGGAAAGAAAGGAAGGAAGAAAUCUAGACGAGGCAGAGAAGGGGAGAAACAAACGCAGCGGCAAUUGUUUCAGGAGGAAUCCGGCAACUCCCCCCGACGCCUGGAUAAAGAGCAUCAAAUGUUUACCUGUUAGAGAGAGGGCAGGCAGAGGCUCAUGAUCCGCGGGUUCCCAAUUGCGCCUCUGAGAGUCGGUAACUGGCAGGAAAAUCCGCAGGUUUAAUUAUGACGCAGCAUCUUCGACACGGCGGGCGCAGAGAUGUCCCUGGACUUUUGUGUGUGUGUGUGUGAAGUUCUGGAGAAGAGCUACCAGGUGCAGCAGAGCCGCCGACUCUCAGUGACCGUCCAAAGUCGAAGCCUGGGUCUUUCUACCUGAGGCUCCAGAUCACACACACAAAACCCCCACUCUGCCCACGGCUCAGUUAUCAAUAAAAUCAACCUUUAUCACUUGGUUCCUAGGUUUCUGUUUAUGGAAGGGCUCCAGUCAGGGGGAAAAUCCAAUUUGUACUUUUGGAUGGCUACCUGGGUUGUAGCACUGGCGAAGACGAGGCUUAUACUGUAUAUUCGCACCCAAGCAACCAAUGCUGCCUUCAGAGGGGUAUGGAUCUAAAUUUUAUUUUAUUUUAUAAGUGUGUAAAGCUGUCCAGUUAUUAAAAGUCGAUGAUUAAAACAAAUUGGAAGAGAAAUUCAAA